rnacentral:lncRNA from 1 species
AACCAGGUGGAGGCCUUCGGGGUUCGGCAAGAGCAGUUCUGUGAGCUGGCGGAGCCUGGCGUCUGCCUGCGUGACGUGGAGGAACCGCAGGCGGCGACCGCGGACAGAAUGUACAGCCAUGUAAGACAUGCCUGUGCCUGCUUCCCCUUUGCCUUCUGCCAUGACUGAAAGUUUCCUAAGGCCUCCUCAGAAGCCGAGCAGAUGCCAGCAUCAUGCUUCCUCUAAAGCCUGUGGAACCAUGAGCCAAGAUUUUUCAUGGGCCGAUCUGCUGAAUUCAGCCUAGGAGCUGAGACCAACAUCUGAGUCUCUUCAGCACACAAGUUUGAAAGAAGUCCUAGCAACUUCAAGCUCAGAACUACGGGUGGCAGCAGCUCCCUCUUGACGUCGAAGCCUCCCAUUCCAGAGAGAGUCAAGGCCUGGAUCAAACAAAGCCCACAAGCACCGAUGACUGAGCUGCUGACUACCCCCAGCAUCUCCAACUCAACCUCCUCUUUCUGCCUCUACCCAAAUUUUAAAACUUUCAAACAUGGGUUUAAAAAUGGUAAUGAGUAAAGUUGCAUCCAAGUGUAUCAAAUAAAACUAAAUAUCCAUAAA